rnacentral:lncRNA from 1 species
AGAACACAGGAUAAGCAUUGAUUUUAUGAUUCAGAAAACUUAGCAGCUGAACUGGCAUUGAGGACACUCUGGCAGUGUCCACUAGCCUGUUGUCUUGAGGAGUUAUCUGAAUCCUUCCACAUUAGCUGGGGCGGGGGUGGAGAGGUCAGCAGAGGAGAAACGAGACCUGAUGCUGCCCUGAAUCUCCAGCUGGUGUUUGGUAUCUGGAGAAUUUGCAUGGCUGGCUUAGAGGAAGUAGACUACUCAUCACGUCUCAGUGCAGCCCAGCCACGGUUCACGUGCUCGACCGCCACAGGUGGGGAGCGGCUACCAUACAGGAGGACAGAGACCCACAUCAACACACAGCCCGAAAAUUAAAAUUCAAGUAAAUCAUGCUUGAGCUGCACACCUUCUUCCAAUGUCCUGACUCACUAACUCAAAUAUCUCAGCAGAGAGCCACCCACACUCAGAGCGACCUGCCGCGGGCCCGGGUGACGCAGGCUGCUGGCUCUCUUACCCCUUGGGAGUGCUGCAUGCCUCAAAUUAUUCAGAUUUCAGCCUGACUUGAAAUCACCAGACAACAAGCAAGCAGCAAGGAAGAGGGGAGACACUUGAAGGUGCUACCAGUAAUCCUCCGGGAGGGACCCAGGUUUAAGUGAGGAACGAGUUGUUAACAGGUCCACCUUAUGGGAAGAAAGAGGCGGGGAAUGCCAAAGCACCUAUGACAGCUGAGUGCACACUGUGUGCGCUGCCACAGCAUGACCUGCGUGCCCUCGGGGUGGGGAGGCAGCCCUCAUACGGGAAGUUCUCCUUACUCACAGGGAACAGUGAUGACGACAAGUGACAGCAAGGGUCUUAGCAACUCCUGAGCACUGAAUUUGCACCAAGCAAUUUGCUAAGUCACUUUUUUUACAGCAGCUCUGCAACUCAGGUAUUGUAAUACCUAUUGUACAGGUGAGGUGGUUUAGAUUAAAUAUCAUGCCCACCUGCUUAGGAGCUGGCCUGGUAUUUAAUCCUAAAUCUACCAGACUCCAAAGUCUGUGCCACAUGUCUUCUUAGUCAGACUCAGCCAGAGGGGCGCUGAGAGUGUGCCUGGACUUACGCUUUUCCUUGGAAGGAAAGUCAG